GCCUUUCUAACUAGAAAGAGUUUCUGAUGGGAGAAUUCAUAUACAGGAUGUAUAGCAUCAACAUCAACAGCCAGCUGGAAUUGACGGCUUUGUUGAUACCCCAGCCAGGCACAUCCCUUAUUCCUCUGCUAAUGGUGAGCAACCCCCACUCCCUGAGGUUCUAGGCCACCUUCUAUGAGAGCGGUUACAAGUUACAUGGGAACACCAAGUACAAUCUGGUGAGCUAUGUCCCCACCAAACCUCACCACAUGUCCCCCGAGGGCUCCCUCUUCCUUCUUCCCUUACCAGCAUAAAGAGCUGAGGAAUUUCCAGACAACACAGCCCCUAGCCCUGCCACAUGGUGGGAAGAUGAUCAGGCAGC